GCCAGCGUGGCAUAGUGGUUUGAGCAUUGAUUGGGCUAUGACUCUGGAGUCCAGGGUUCGAUUCCCGGCUCAGCCA